GUGACAACUGUGUCACGUUUCUUCAUUAAAGAAUUUCUUAAUUGAUAAACAUAAAAACGAGGCAGUUUUAAAAUAUUUGGAAUGCAGAUUUCUGAAAAAUAUACAUGUACGACAUGUACAACACAAACGAUAAAAAUCAUCGUUGACAAAGAACAUUAUAAAGGUUCAUGGCAUUGCUAUAAUAUAAAACGAAAGCUUGCAGGUUUUCCAGUGAUAAGUGAAGCAGAAUUUAAUCGAAAAAUAACACUUUUAAAAAAAUCAUGCUAUCCGAAAAAAAAGGGUACAAAUCAUUUUCGAGUCAUUGCAGGUCCGGCCACAAAAGAGACAUCAUUAUCGGUGUCCAAAACACAACAGCUUCAGCUAAAACCUCUUACGUACUUGGAUAGUUUAUUCGAUAAUCAGAGUUUGCUUUUGUUGAAGAAAAUUUAAAAUAUAUUAAAAAAAAAAACUUUGUUUUUACCUGAUGAGAAAUGUUUAAUAACUUUAGAAAAAUCUUUUUAUGUCAUCUCUUUCUAAGAUUGUAGACAAGAAAAACAUUUUAAUAUAAUUGGAUUUUUAUUUAUUUAUCACAGAAAUUAUAUUACAAACAGCAAUGUUUAGUUUGUAAUCACCCGUUUCAAUCUCUACUUUCUAUACAAAAACAUAUGGAAAGCGGGAUAUAUUGAGUUUUUGCAUGUGAUUCAACAAUUGUUUAAUUAAGUAGAAAAUUUGGUUGCAGCUUUACGUUUCGUGAUUAAUCUAUAUAUUGUGGAGCUAGUUUCUCCUGUGGACCCUAAACUGUUACAGCAUUAGGCAUCUUUUUGGAGCUCAUAAUUUGGCUUCACAGCCUAUCCCUCAAAAGGGACACUGAAUGAAACGGAGAGUUUCGUCGAUGCCUAAGCGACUCAUCAGUAGGAUUCGGUUCCGGUCCAUUGCUAGACCAGUUCCAGGCAGUAGACUAGGGCCCACUUCAAAGAAUGGUUCCUAUCUUUUAAGUCUUUGGUGUGGACUCCAUCCAUUUAACGUAUCCGAUGGUCGACACAUUCACCUUUAAACUCGAAUGAAAUACUACAUUCAUUUAACGUCUCCGAUGGUCAACACAUUCACUUUUAAAGUCUUGAAUGAAAGACUCCAUCCAUUUAACGUCUUCGAUGGUCGACUGGCAUUUUUUUUUUAGUUUAAAGUCUCAAUUGAGAAUUUUCUUAUCGUCUACUCAUUCGGUUUAAAGUCUUGAAUACGGCUUUAUCCAUUUUAAUGUCUCAGAUACCUGGCUUAAUUAAUUUUAAUUUAUCAAUUACAAAAUUCCAUUCAUUUAACGUAUACUAUGGUUAACGCAUUACGGAAUUCCAAUUUGAAUUCAUUUUAAUUAUUACCUACGUAUGUAUAAUGUAAGCAAUUAUACUAGGUGUAUCUUUCUAUCAAUAAGCUUUUGCCUCUUCUAAUUUUUUGACGUCUAUCUUAAUGCUCACCUCGGUCCAAAUGUAUAACAGUUUUUCUGUUUAUCACCCUUGUUGAACUUUUUUUAAAUAUUCAGUGGAAGUGUUUCUUGAAAAAAAAAGAACUGGAUUUUUUGAUGCAAAGUUUAUUUUAGUAUUAUAGCGGUACCCGUGUACUAAUAAUGUUCGACAAGAAAAUAUUGUUUCAAUGCCGAACUCCGCGACCGCUGUUGCAAGAAGUAUCUCUUCGUUUUUUGUAUUAAAUCUACUUAGUUUCUUUUUAAAAUUAAUGUUUCACUUCUUGUAUUAAUUAGAGCAUAUAAUUUUCUUAACUCGAUUUAAUUAAUUAUUUACAAAAUUAAACUGUAAUCAUGUAUUUUGUCGAAGGUUAGUGUU